rnacentral:rRNA from 1 species
UACGGAGGGUGCAAGCGUUAUCCGGAUUUACUGGGUUUAAAGGGUGUGUAGGCGGUUCUUUAAGUUAGUGGUGAAAUCUCCGGGCUCAACCCGGAAACUGCCAUUGAUACUAUUGAUCUUGAAUUUUGUUGAGGUAGGCGGAAUAAGUCAUGUAGCGGUGAAAUGCAUAGAUAUGACUUAGAACACCAAUUGCGAAGGCAGCUUGCUAAACAAAUAUUGACGCUGAGGCACGAAAGCGUGGGGAUCAAACAGG